rnacentral:snRNA from 1 species
AUUGCUUUCGGAGAUAUUCGAUAAAAUUGGAACGAUACGAUUAGCAAGGCCCUGACUGCACAACGAUGACACGCACAAAUUGAGAAAUAGCCCAAAUUUUU